AAAACGACUCUCGGCAACGGAUAUCUCGGCUCUCGCAUCGAUGAAGAACGNAGCGAAAUGCGAUACUUGGUGUGAAUUGCAGAAUCCCGUGAACCAUCGAGUCUUUGAACGCAAGUUGCGCCCGAAGCCGUCAGGCCGAGGGCACGUCUGCCUGGGCGUCACGC
rnacentral:rRNA from 14 species